rnacentral:misc_RNA from 1 species
AGCGAAUUGUAUUGCUUCUCAACAAGAUAGAUCUUGUACCUCGGGAGGCGGUGGAGAAAUGGCUCAAGUAUCUUAGAGAAGAGAUGCCAGCUGUUGCAUUCAAGUGCAGCACCCAAGAACAAAGGUCAAAUUUAGGUUGGAAAGCUGCCUCAAAGAUAUCGAAGUCAAAAAUUUUGCAAACAAGUGAUUGCCUUGGAGCUGAAACUCUUAUAAAACUGUUGAAAAAUUAUUCCAGAAGCCGUGAGAUCAAAGUUUCCAUUACCGUUGGUAUUGUCGGGCUUCCUAAUGUUGGUAAAAGUAGUCUGAUAAAUAGCUUGAAACGAUCUCAUGUUGUCAAUGUUGGCGCUACCCCGG